AAUAGAUACCCGGGUAGUCCACGCCGUAAACGAUGAGUGCUAAGUGUUAGAGGGUUUCCGCCCUUUAGUGCUGCAGCUAACGCAUUAAGCACUCCGCCUGGGGAGUACGGCCGCAAGGCUGAAACUCAAAGGAAUUGACGGGGGCCCGCACAAGCGGUGGAGCAUGUGGUUUAAUUCGAAGCAACGCGAAGAACCUUACCAGGUCUUGACAUCCUCUGCCAACCCUAGAGAUAGGGCGUUCCCCUUCGGGGGACAGAGUGACAGGUGGUGCAUGGUUGUCGUCAGCUCGUGUCGUGAGAUGUUGGGUUAAGUCCCGCAACGAGCGCAACCCUUGAUCUUAGUUGCCAGCAUUCAGUUGGGCACUCUAAGGUGACUGCCGGUGACAAACCGGAGGAAGGUGGGGAUGACGUCAAAUCAUCAUGCCCCUUAUGACCUGGGCUACACACGUGCUACAAUGGAUGGUACAAAGAGCUGCGAACCCGCGAGGGUAAGCGAAUCUCAUAAAGCCAUUCUCAGUUCGGAUUGUAGGCUAA
rnacentral:rRNA from 1 species